ACACGGAGCCGCCAAACUACCCAAAAUUGAGUUCUUUUGACGCAAUCCCAUAGUUCGGCCCAAUAAGCCAAAUUUAAGUAAAUCGAUUAAACUCACACUAGGUAAAUUGCCUUCAACUCCAGCAAGAACAUUUACUUAAGAGUAGGUAAAUUCAACCCAAGACCCCCCCUCAUUCAACCCAAAUUUGAGUAAACCUGCAUUUACCCAAAAUUGGCUUAUUGGGCUCAAGGACCCCCGUUGGGUAGAUGCAUCUCUGUUUGUUUUUGACAACAUCGGUGAGGGAAAGAGGGAAAACAACCUAAUUUUGGGUAACUAGUUUAUUCGAUAUACUCAGCUUUGAGUAAAAUCGACCCAAAAAUUAGGUAGUUUGAUUUCUCCGUGUAGACAAUAGGCUGAAAGCCAUCAUGAUCAACACAAACGUGGCUUGGUGAUGGAAGUGAUACAGCCGCCACACUGCACAAUGGGUCCAGAGCCGUAUUUGCGAAGACAAAACUGUUUAAGCUUCAGCUUUAAGUUUUUAGACACAUAUUGUGUUUUAGAAAGUUUAUUUUCAAUUGUUGACCCUAUUCCCUAUUAUUGUUAUGUUAGGGUGGUUCGUCUGGUUAAACUGAUUCAAAAAUCUGCUUUCUAAUAAUUUUAUUUGCGAUGCCAUGAUGGAUGAAGAUGGAUCGUUUUAUUAGAAAUUCCACCAAUAAACGGCAAAUUUUAAAUUUCUUAUAGGGUGACAAUGGGUAUUAUCGGCAGGUUUGUUCUCUUCGUCAUGGGGGGUUUUUGUCAGCCAAAUUUCCUGAAACUUGGCCAUAUAAUUCAGCUUAGCUGGGAAGGAUUUGAGACCAACUCUGAGUUCAAUAGGUUUCAAGAAAA